rnacentral:rRNA from 1 species
GUGAACGCUGGCGGUAGGCCUAACACAUGCAAGUCGAACGGCAGCACAGUAAGAGCUUGCUCUUACGGGUGGCGAGUGGCGGACGGGUGAGGAAUACAUCGGAAUCUACUUUUUCGUGGGGGAUAACGUAGGGAAACUUACGCUAAUACCGCAUACGACCUACGAGUGAAAGCAGGGGAUCUUCGGACCUUGCGCGAUUGAAUGAGCCGAUGUCGGAUUAGCUAGUUGGCGGGGUAAAGGCCCACCAAGGCGACGAUCCGUAGCUGGUCUGAGAGGAUGAUCAGCCACACUGGAACUGAGACACGGUCCAGACUCCUACGGGAGGCAGCAGUGGGGAAUAUUGGACAAUGGGCGCAAGCCUGAUCCAGCCAUACCGCGUGGGUGAAGAAGGCCUUCGGGUUGUAAAGCCCUUUUGUUGGGAAAGAAAAGCAGCAGGUUAAUACCCCGCUGUUCUGACGGUACCCAAAGAAUAAGCACCGGCUAACUUCGUG